rnacentral:rRNA from 1 species
GACGAACCGUGCGAACGUUGUUCGGAAUCACUGGGCUUAAAGGGCGCGUAGGCGGGUUCGCAAGUCUGUGGUGAAAGCCUCCAGCUUAACUGGAGAAGUGCCAUGGAUACUGCGCAUCUUGAGGAGGGUAGGGGCGUCUGGAACGGUCGGUGGAGCGGUGAAAUGCGUUGAUAUCGACCGGAACUCCGGUGGCGAAAGCGACUCUCUGGACAGAUCCUGACGCUGAGACGCGAAAGCUAGGGGAGCAAACGGG